UACAGAGGUCUCAAGCGUUGUUCGGAUUCAUUGGGCGUAAAGGGUGUGUAGGUGGCGCGCUAAGUCGGGUGUGAAAUUUCGGAGCUUAACUCCGAAACUGCAUUCGAUACUGGCGUGCUUGAGGACUGGAGAGGAGACUGGAAUUCAUGGUGUAGCAGUGAAAUGCGUAGAGAUGUGGAGGAACACCAAUGGCGAAGGCAGCCUCCUGGGCCAAUACUGACACUCAUGCACGAAAGCGUGGGGAGCAAACAGG
rnacentral:rRNA from 1 species